GACGAACGCUGGCGGCGUGCUUAACACAUGCAAGUCGAACGAAGUGGCGAACGGGUGAGUAACGCGUAAUCAACCUGCCCUUCCGAGGGGGACAACAGUUGGAAACGACUGCUAAUACCGCAUACUGAUGGAGGGGUUUGCGGUUGAUUUGCUAGUUGGAGGGGUAACGGCCAACCAAGGCGAUGAUCAGUAGGUGGUCUGGGAGGAUGAACGGGCACAGUGGGACUGAGACCCGGCCCAGACUCCGACGGGAGGCAGCAGGGGGGAAUCUUCAGAAAUGGACGAAAGGCUGACGGAGCAACGCCGCGGGAGUGAUGACGGCCUUCGGGUUGUAAAGCUCUGUUAAGCGGGACGCGGUACCGGAAUAGAAAGCCACGGCUAACUACGUGCCAGCCGCCGCGGUAAUAC
rnacentral:rRNA from 1 species